CUCUAUAUAGAUUGCUAUUGUGCCCUCCAGCGUUCAUCGGUGUGUGCUGAAAAGCGAUUCCUUUGCGAUACUGCGAUUUUUUUCUGGCAUCUCCCUAGCUUGAUAUUUACUAUUCUUAUCGGAGCUAGUGGGGAUAGCCAGAGACUAGAGAGGGAGACCCCGUGGGGUACCCCGGCCUUGUGCCGGCCCCUCUUAUUGAAAUAUCAACAUGGCAACCGCACAAGGUUGCGAGAACAUCAGGAGCAAGCCAGGGCUGCAGGAGCUGUUCCUCGCCCUGGACACUUUCAGGCCUGAGAAGACCAAUUUUGAGGCCAUGAUUUUUUAUUAUGAACAUCACUACAGAUAUUUUUUUGGGAAGAUGGAAGACCUGUAAGUAAACAUAAAUGAUCUUAUUAUAUGUUGGAAAUUGUUUACUAUUGCCCCGGGGAAAGUGCAAGAGCAAUAAGGGUGAAAAUUCACACCCCUUAGGGCCCAUGCACUA